UGGUGGAGUGAUUUGUCUGGUUAAUUCCGUUAACGAACGAGACCUUAGCCUACUAACUAGUCGAACCAAUUCCGAUUGGCUCCGACUUCUUAGAGGGACUUUGUGACUAAACACAAGGAAGUUUGAGGCAAUAACA
rnacentral:rRNA from 1 species